rnacentral:rRNA from 1 species
UACAGAGGUGGCAAGCGUUGUUCGGAAUUACUGGGCGUAAAGGGCGCGUAGGCGGUUCGAUAAGUCCCGUGUGAAAGCCCCCGGCUCAACUGGGGAACUGCACGGGAAACUGGCGGGCUUGAGUGUGGCAGAGGGGGGUGGAAUUCCGCGUGUAGCAGUGAAAUGCGUAGAGAUGUGGAGGAACACCGAUGGCGAAGGCAGCCUCCUGGGCCAAUACUGACGCUCAUGCACGAAAGCGUGGGGAGCAAACAGG